rnacentral:rRNA from 1 species
UACGACUACAUAUCAGGCAUAUCAAUAAGCGGAGGAAAAGAAACUAACUAGGAUUCCCUCAGUAACGGCGAGUGAAGCGGGAAGAGCUCAAAUUUGAAAUCUUCAAGGUUCUACCUUGACGAAUUGUAGUUUAAAGAAGUGUUUUCUGUUGAAGUUUUGGUAAAAGUUCUUUGGAAUAGGACAUCAUAGAGGGUGAGAAUCCCGUAUUUGACCAUUAUUUCCAGCUUUGUGAUACACUUUCAAAGAGUCGGAUUGUUUGGGAAUGCAGUCCAAAAUGGGUGGUAAAUUUCAUCUAAAGCUAAAUAUUGGCGAGAGACCGAUAGCGAACAAGUACCGUGAGGGAAAGAUGAAAAGAACUUUGAAAAGAGAGUUAAACAGUACGUGAAAUUGUCAAAAGGGAAGCGUUUGACACCAGUGUUGUUUUCUCGAAAAUCAAUUAAAAAAAGUUGGAUUUUGUGUUGUAUUGACCUUAACAGCUUGCUUCACUCCUUUCCAGCUUUUUUUAAUGCACUUUUCGUUUAACAAGUCAACAUCAGUUUCUUUUGUUGUAAAAGGGUCAUUGGAAGGUGGCUUUCUCUUCGGAGAAAGUGUUUAUAGCCUUUGAUCUCUGCAAUCGGAGAGACUGAGGUCUGCAGCGUAGAUCCCUCGGGGUUAGAUACAUUUGUGCUAAGCUACAGCUUUUCAUAGACAACUUGUUGACUAUGUUUAGUCUUGUAACUUACCCGCUUAUGCUAUUUUACCUACGCUUAGGAUGUUGAGCGCAUGUCUCUCUCU